UGGUAUUCCAGUGAACGAUUA
ensembl:piRNA 21ur-2639 ncRNA